GUACAUGGAUUGCUUGCAAUCUGAUGACGAGUGGCGCACGGGUGCGUAACGCGUAUGCAAUCUACCUUUUACAGGAGAAUAGCCCAGAGAAAUUUGGAAUAAUGCUCCAUAAUAUCAUUUAUCAGCAUUGGUUUAUGAUUAAAGCUCCGGCGGUAAAAGAGGAGCAUGCGUUCUAUUAGCUAGUAGGUGAGGUAACGGCUCACCUAGGCUACGAUAGAUAGGGGCCCUGAGAGGGGGAUCCCCCACACUGGUACUGAGACACGGACCAGACUCCUACGGGAGGCAGCAGUGAGGAAUAUUGGACAAUGGAGGAAACUCUGAUCCAGCCAUGCCGCGUGCAGGAUGACUGCCCUAUGGGUUGUAAACUGCUUUUAUAUAGGAAGAAACACUCCCACGUGUGGGGGCUUGACGGUACUAUAUGAAUAAGGAUCGGCUAACUCCGUGCCAGCAGCCGCGGUAAUACGGAGGAUCCAAGCGUUAUCCGGAAUCAUUGGGUUUAAAGGGUCCGCAGGCGGCCUGUUAAGUCAGAGGUGAAAUCCUACAGCUCAACUGUAGAACUGCCUUUGAUACUGAUAGGCUUGAGUUAUUGUGAAGUGGUUAGAAUGUGUGGUGUAGCGGUGAAAUGCUUAGAUAUCACACAGAAUACCCAUUGCGAAGGCAGAUCACUAACAAUAUACUGACGCUCAUGGACGAAAGCGUGGGGAGCGAACGGGAUUAGAUACCCCGGUAGUCCACGCCGUAAACGAUGGAUACUAACUGUUCGACCUUCGGGUUGAGUGGUCAAGCGAAAGUGAUAAGUAUCCCACCUG
rnacentral:rRNA from 1 species